rnacentral:rRNA from 1 species
UACGUAGGUGGCAAGCGUUGUCCGGAAUUAUUGGGCGUAAAGCGCGCGCAGGCGGUCCUUUAAGUCUGAUGUGAAAGCCCACGGCUCAACCGUGGAGGGUCAUUGGAAACUGGGGGACUUGAGUACAGAAGAGGAGAGUGGAAUUCCACGUGUAGCGGUGAAAUGCGUAGAUAUGUGGAGGAACACCAGUGGCGAAGGCGGCUCUCUGGUCUGUAACUGACGCUGAGGCGCGAAAGCGUGGGGAGCAAACAGG